CAGUACAGUAGAGUCACAAUUCCGACAUAUUUUUCUUUUCAGACUACCAUACUGUCUCCUGGUGUUUAUUUUCCUGACUGAAUGUGAAGGUUUUGGUAGGCAUGCAGUGUUAACAACAGAACACAACACAAUGUAAAAUCAUAGGACAGGAAACAAGGAUGAAACUUCACAUAUUUCCUAAAUACUCAGGAUGAAAAGUAACUAUUACAACUUUCUAGACUGUGAGCAGCAGACUGGUGCUAGUAUGAAAUGAAGGGGACCAAAAGACAUCCACAAACAUGCCUUUUAUUUGGCUAACUUCUCUGGAAAAUAUAACAGUAUUUAUCAGUAUUCAUUACUACAGUUAUCACUGGCCUCCAAAGCCCUUAAAGUGCCAAAAGCUGACAGAAAAUGAAUACACAGAUGACAAGGCGAACAUUAAUAACCCUAUCUGUAUCAAUCAAUUAUUCCUGUAGGAAUAAUGCAAUCAAACAUUUUGUCUUUCCCAUAUUUUUCAGGCCAUUUUGAUUCAUCUGAUAUUUUUAUCAGGCUUUACAGACCCAUGUAACAAACCUGUGCAAGACAAAGAAAAUGAAUUUAAACAUUAAAAGGACAGUGAUAUUUUGUACUGAAUGUGACCCACACAAAAUCAAUACAAUUAAAUACACCCAUCCACAUUUCUGGUCCCUUGUGUAACCGUAUCUGAAGAAUUUAGAGUAGUAGCAGUGUAUUAGUUUAUUAAUUUGGAUGCUCUAAACACCAACAUUUCCAACGCACCAUUGGACAUAUACCGUCACAAAACUAAACCUAAUAUAGAUUCAGCCAGUCCACAUCUAGAGGCAAGUGUAAGUCAGUAAGCACAGUUUUUUUUUUAAUCUAGAUUAUGCUACUCAGACUCAAGGGUUUUGUCAGCUAAAACUUGCCAACAUCACAUUUUCUUAUGGUAAACAACAAUAUCAAUAUAUAUUAAUAAAUAUUAAUUAAUAAUAAUAUAUAUUAUGGAUAUGCUGUGAAGAUAAAAAGGGUAUCAAGGAUUGAUAGAACUUUUAGAGAGGAUAAGGUAAAGGUAAGGUAAAUACUAAGUAAUGGAAUUGACCUUUCUGCUUAUCCCAAGCAACAUUUACUGAUGACAUGCACUGACUUCCUUGCAGGUCUUCAUGCCGAAAUACCACAACUGUGUGUUUACUUCAGUGUGAUAAAAGAGCACUCUACCAAUCCAGCUAAACUCUACAGGAAGCUGUGAGGGAAAAGAGACAUGGCAAAGCUGAAGGUUGAUGCUUUAGUGUGGAAAACAGUCCCACAGUGACUCUCAAACACCACACAGGUUAAUAGAUCAAACACCAGAUAGCACAGACUUCUCAUGAUUAGCAACAAAGCUUAAACAACACACACUCUCUCUCUCUCUCACACACACACACACACACACACGCAGUCCUGCCUGUACAGGAUCUAGAAAGAGAGAGGAAGUGUGUUUGUGCUGACCGCUCUGUAAAACAAAGGCAGAGCUGAUAAGGAAAUAAUACAAGAAUGACGGGAGAUCUAACUUUACAUUCCUCUGGCAGAGGCCUUGAUCCCUGAGUGUUUGAACACUGGUGGUCAUAAGACUCCAAAUCCCAGACAUUGUGAACGUCUCACUCAACACAACAAGCAGAGUAAGCAGCUUAAAUAUAUCUGUCAGAUAUAUUUAUUAUGAAGAUUUCUGCUGAAGGACAGUCGCUCUGUCAUGCCAAAAGAAAAUCUUAUUUAAUAAAUCUAAUAAUAGUCUGAUUAUGUUACAUGGCAACAUGAAAAUAGAUUGAUUUAAUCUCUCAAAUGUCAAUACUGGUAUCAGCCUCAACAAGCUCGUAUCAGCUGGGCUCUAAUUCUUUACAGAUCAAUAUAAACUUUGGUCUUUGCUGAGGUAAACAUCCAAUAAUCAAGUAAGUGUACAGAUACAGCCCAGUCCAACUCGACUGCCUCGCACCGAUUAAGGAUGUGAUGUGCAGAGUGACUGUAGACUCCAGCAGUUUGGAGUUGUUGUUGUUUCUAUCGGCUGACAGACACAGUCACAUUCACUCUCUAUUAAACCCUGAGUUUUGGUUUAAAAUUGGGCAAGUAAUAAAUAAAAUAUCAAUCAGAGCAACUAAUGCACGGUCAAAAUUGCACAAAGAAGUUGAACUCUGAAGUGUUAGUGUUAGUUGGAUUUUACAGAGGAGCAGCAACAAGUUAGUUUGGAAAAAAAAUAGAGAAAGUGUCACCUACAGAAAGUCAAAUUCAUCAGUGCAAAAGCCAAGAAAAAGUACAGUUCACAGUUUUGACUGAUAAAUAAUGAGCAAAAACACCAGGCAAUUACUGAAGAUGUCAAAUAAUAAAACAAAAGAUCACCUUGCAGAUAGCAGAACUACAUUUUUGAGCCAGGUCCAGCAUCAUUACAUCAACUUUCCUGGGUCAAAAGACGCAGGAGAUGGCUCUCAUUGUAGACGGCUCAGCUACCAGACACAGACCAGUCUCUAUAUCCUGACUUACAUCAGCACAAUGCUGCUUACUGUACAACACAGAGACUGAAUACACACCAGCUUAGCCACAGUACACCGUCUGUCCAUACAGCACUUCACUGUUCAACACAAUAAUCUGAACAGAAACAGGGUUUUUGUCUCAUUUACAUCUGGAACUGUUGGAGGAAGGUGGUGGGAUUCACUCUCUGAAAUCCUGAAUGUUUUUUCAGAUGCUUUGGCAAAAGAAAGCGGUUUGAUUUUUACUGUCAUGCUAAUAAAAGCACACUACACUGAACUGAAAAUUGAGUUCAACAGCUGACUGCGUCUCAUCCCACUCCAGUUUUCAUGGCAACCAACUCUGAGUCUUUGUGCUUCCAGUGUAUUCAUAAUUCAUAACCCAUUUAUUUCUUUGUUUAGAUCAGUUUGGCUUGGUGUGCACCUCAUAACCCCACCCCUCCCUCUCUCUCCUCUCUCUCUGGACAUCACGUGUCAUGUGACUUAGCAAAACACCGUCUCUCUCUCUCUUCCUCUUCCUCUUCCAUCUCUCUCUCCCUCUAUCACAUUCCUUUCCUGUCCUCCCACUUGUUCCUGCAGCAGCAAGUCUGAGCCGCCCGUCUGGUUGCCAGGCACGAUCAGGGUGCACACGUGUGCGUGUGGUUUUCAGCUUGACUACGGGGGAGGGAGGAAGCAUCUGAAAAAGCUAAAAAUAUGAAAGAAUGUUGAUUUGAAGAGGAAGCGAACGAGAGGACGAGAAGACACCUGAUCUCUGGGAGAGGAAGUAAUGAACUGAUGAUACUGAUUGGUUGGAGGUAGAGACAGAAAACUGAUGUGAAAAACUGCUUCUGUCCUUUGAAGAAAUCCUGUCAUGCUUCCAAACUACCCUCCAAAACCUCUGAAUCUGUAGCACCACCUUAGGAAAAAAUCUGAUCAGCCAACACCUAAAAGGCCAAAGAGAGAACAUUCGUUGAAAAAGCUGCUGAAACAUGAGCGAAGCCAAAAACGACGCAUGCUAUCUGCUAUCACCGAAUAUUCAGAACCAAACCUUGAUGUAAAGAUCGUCUUUCAACUUUUUAGACUUGCCUAGAAAAAUCAAGCACCUUUCCAGGAACAACAAAAUCAAUCA